rnacentral:rRNA from 1 species
GACGAACGCUGGCGGCGUGCUUAACACAUGCAAGUCGAACGGUAAGGCCCUUCGGGGUACACGAGUGGCGAACGGGUGAGUAACACGUGGGCGAUCUGCCCUGCACUUCGGGAUAAGCCUGGGAAACUGGGUCUAAUACCGGAUAGGACUUCUGCCUGCAUGGGUGGGGGUGGAAGGCGUUUGCGGUGGGGGAUGGGUCCGCGGCCUAUCAGCUUGUUGGUGGGGUGAUGGCCUAACAAGGCGACGACGGGUAGCCGGCCUGAGAGGGUGACCGGCCACAAUGGGACUGAGAUACGGCCCAGACUCCUACGGGAGGCAGCAGUGGGGAAUAUUGCGCAAUGGGCGCAAGCCUGAUGCAGCGACGCCGCGUGAGGGAUGACGGCCUUCGGGUUGUAAACCUCUUUCAGCACAGACGAAGCGCAAGUGACGGUAUGUGCAGAAGAAGGACCGGCCAACUACGUGCCAGCCGCCGCGGUAA